GGGGGGAGCGGUCGAAGGUGGGAUUGGCGAUUGGGACGAAGUCGUAACAAGGUAGCCGUACCGGAAGGUGCGGCUGGAUCACCUCCUU
rnacentral:rRNA from 1 species